rnacentral:rRNA from 1 species
GAUGAACGCUGGCGGCGUGCCUAAUACAUGCAAGUCGAGCGACCAGACGAGGAGCUUGCUCCUCUGACGUUAGCGGCGGACGGGUGAGUAACACGUGGAUAACCUACCUAUAAGUCUGGGAUAACUUCGGGAAACCAGAGCUAAUACCGGCUCAUAUAUUGAACCGCAUGGUUCAAUAGUGAAAGACGGUUUUGCUGUCACUUAUAGAUGGAUCCGCGCCGCAUUAGCUAGUUGGUAAGGUAACGGCUUACCAAGGCAACGAUGCGUAGCCGACCUGAGAGGGUGAUCGGCCACACUGGAACUGAGACACGGUCCAGACUCCUACGGGAGGCAGCAGUAGGGAAUCUUCCGCAAUGGGCGAAAGCUUGACGGAGCAACGCCGCGUGAGUGAUGAAGGUCUUCGGAUCGUAAAACUCUGUUAUUAGGGAAGAACAAAUGUGUAAGUAACUAUGCACGUCUUGACGGUACCUAAUCAGAAAGCCACGGCUAACUACGUG